GAUGAACGCUGGCGGCGUGCCUAAUACAUGCAAGUCGAGCGAACAGACAAGGAGCUUGCUCCUUUGACGUUAGCGGCGGACGGGUGAGUAACACGUGGGUAACCUACCUAUAAGACUGGGAUAACUUCGGGAAACCGGAGCUAAUACCGGAUAAUAUUUCGAACCGCAUGGUUCGAUAGUGAAAGAUGGUUUUGCUAUCACUUAUAGAUGGACCCACGCCGUAUUAGCUAGCUGGUAAGGUAACGGCUUACCAAGGCGACGAUACGUAGCCGACCUGAGAGGGUGAUCGGCCACACUGGAACUGAGACACGGUCCAGACUCCUACGGGAGGCAGCAGUAGGGAAUCUUCCGCAAUGGGCGAAAGCCUGACGGAGCAACGCCGCGUGAGUGAUGAAGGUCUUCGGAUUGUAAAACUCUGUUAUUAGGGAAGAACAUACGUGUAAGUAACUAUGCACGUCUUGACGGUACCUAAUCAGAAAGCCACGGCUAACUACGUGCCAGCAGCCGCGGUAAUACGUAGGUGGCAAGCGUUAUCCGGAAUUAUUGGGCGUAAAGCGCGCGUAGGCGGUUUUUUAAGUCUGAUGUGAAAGCCUACGGCUCAACCGUGGAGGGUCAUUGGAAACUGGAAAACUUGAGUGCAGAAGAGGAAAGUGGAAUUCCAUGUGUAGCGGUGAAAUGCGCAGAGAUAUGGAGGAACACCAGUGGCGAAGGCGACUUUCUGGUCUGUAACUGACGCUGAUGUGCGAAAGCGUGGGGAUCAAACAGGAUUAGAUACCCUGGUAGUCCACGCCGUAAACGAUGAGUGCUAAGUGUUAGGGGGUUUCCGCCCCUUAGUGCUGCAGCUAACGCAUUAAGCACUCCGCCUGGGGAGUACGACCGCAAGGUUGAAACUCAAAGGAAUUGACGGGGACCCGCACAAGCGGUGGAGCAUGUGGUUUAAUUCGAAGCAACGCGAAGAACCUUACCAAAUCUUGACAUCCUUUGACAACUCUAGAGAUAGAGCCUUCCCCUUCGGGGGACAAAGUGACAGGUGGUGCAUGGUUGUCGUCAGCUCGUGUCGUGAGAUGUUGGGUUAAGUCCCGCAACGAGCGCAACCCUUAAGCUUAGUUGCCAUCAUUAAGUUGGGCACUCUAAGUUGACUGCCGGUGACAAACCGGAGGAAGGUGGGGAUGACGUCAAAUCAUCAUGCCCCUUAUGAUUUGGGCUACACACGUGCUACAAUGGACAAUACAAAGGGCAGCGAAACCGCGAGGUCAAGCAAAUCCCAUAAAGUUGUUCUCAGUUCGGAUUGUAGUCUGCAACUCGACUACAUGAAGCUGGAAUCGCUAGUAAUCGUAGAUCAGCAUGCUACGGUGAAUACGUUCCCGGGUCU
rnacentral:rRNA from 1 species